AGGGUUCCUGAGCAACGAUCGUCGUCUCAGGGUAAGUCGGGACCUAAGCCGAGGCACAGACGCAUAGGCGAUGGACAACAGGUUGAAAUUCCUGUACCGGAUGGAGUCAUUUGAGCAAUGGAGUGACGCAGGAGGGCACAUGAUCGCGCGACUGGAAGAGCGCGUCCAAGUGCGUAUGUUGAAUCGGAGGCAAAUCCCCGAUUCUGAAAGCAGAGACAUGAUGGGGAGUUAUAAGCGAUUAUGACGAACUCAUGGAUCCCACACUGCCAAGAAAAACUUCUAGCGAGACGAAAUCCGCCCGUACCGUAAACCGACACAGGUAGGCGGGGAGAGAAUCCUAAGGUGCGCGGGAAAACCCUCGUUAAGGAACUCGGCAAAUUGCAUCCGUAACUUCGGGAGAAGGAUGGCCCUGAGUAGGCGAAGUGCAGAAACGCACGGAACAGAAAAGGGUGGCAGAAAAGAGGCCCAAGCAACUGUUUACCAAAAACACAGGUGCCUGCGAAAGCGAAAGCUGAAGUAUAGGUGCUGACGCCUGCCCGGUGCUGGAAGGUUAAGGAGAGAGGUUAGCGCAAGCGAAGCUUUGAACUGAAGCCCCAGUGAACGGCGGCCGUAACUAUAACGGUCCUAAGGUAGCGAAAUUCCUUGUCGGGUAAGUUCCGACCCGCAUGAAAGGCGUAAUGAUUUGGGCGCUGUCUCAACGAGGGGCCCGGUGAAAUUGAAAUACCUGUGAAGAUGCAGGUUACCCGCGACUGGACAGAAAGACCCCAUGGAGCUUUACUGCAGCUUGAGAUUGAAUCCCGGUGGCAGACGCACAGGAUAGGUGGGAGGCUUUGAGAUAGUGACUUUGGUUGCUAUGGAGCCGACGUUGGGAUACCACCCUUCUGUUGCUGGGAUUCUAACGCGAAGAUUAACAACCUUGCGGACCAUCUCAGGUAGGCGGUUUGACUGGGGCGGUCGCCUCCGAAAGAGUAACGGAGGCGCCCAAAGGUUCCCUCAGGCCGGACAGAAACCGGCCGAAGAGUGCAAAGGCAGAAGGGAGCUUGACUGCGAGACAGACAAGUCGAGCAGAGACGAAAGUCGGGCUUAGUGAUCCGGUGGUACUGCGUGGAAAGGCCAUCGCUCAACGGAUAAAAGCUACCCUGGGGAUAACAGGCUAAUCUCUCCCAAGAGUUCAUAUCGACGGGGAGGUUUGGCACCUCGAUGUCGGCUCAUCACAUCCUGGAGCUGGAGUAGGUUCCAAGGGUUGGGCUGUUCGCCCAUUAAAGUGGUACGCGAGCUGGGUUCAAAACGUCGUGAGACAGUUUGGUUCAUAUCCAUCGCGGGCGCAAGAAGUUUGAGGGAGGCUGCUCCUAGUACGAGAGGACCGGAGUGGACGGAUCAACGGUGUACCAGUUGUCACGCCAGUGGCACGGCUGGAAAGCCGCAUCCGGAAAGGAUAAACGCUGAAAGCAUCUAAGCGUGAAGCCCGUCCCAAGAUGAGACUUCUCAUCAGCAAUGAGUAAGACCCCUUAAAGACGAUGAGGUUGAUAGGCUGUGAGUGGAAGAGCCGCGAGGCUUGGAGCGACGCAGUACUAAUAGGUCGAGGUCUUAACU
rnacentral:rRNA from 1 species